ensembl:lncRNA
UGGAAAUUCAUUAAUGGGAACAACCCUUUAAUAUUGAUGGUGUUUUUCUGUUACUAUCCGGUUGUUAGGGUUGUUGUACGUCACUAGCCGUGUCUGAGCCUAAACUCUGCUGCAGGUCCAUAUAUCAAACGAUCACUGUGGCAUUACUGAGAGUUGAAAAACUGUCUAAAGUCUUUCAUCUUUAAUAAAAUGAUCAGUGUUCUUCUCUACCAGGUGUAACAAUUGAGUUUAACAUCCAGGCAUCCAUGAAAACGGAAUUUAUGACAUUUAACGGAGUUAGAAAUUAGCAGGAAGUUAGCUCGCUAGCUUCCAUCUAAAUACAAUAUAGCAUGUCCUGACUGCAGGGGUUUAGAAACAAAUUCAAACGUACAGCUCUGCUAUCACUUCCAACAUAAAUGAAGACCGAAAACUAAACAGCAGUGACGUUUGUAGGGUUACUGAAGUUUGGCUAGCUGGUAUAUAAUGAUGUGCUACGUGACCGCUAGCGACACAGCUAUGUUAGCAUAAUAUAAACAAGCUAACUUUUUUUCCACUCGAUAAAAGUUAACGUGAGUGCUCUCGGUGGUCAGGAACAAAUGUAAUCGCAUGGCAGGAUGCUGUAAACGGACCAAACUUCAGCCAGGAGAACAACUGAGAUAAUCCAUCCACAAUACGAGCCUCGAAUGUUGGACAACCAGCAAACCCUGAUCACAUGACCUCAGGGACCUGCUGGGGAUGUACUGAUGUAAAAGAUCUCUGACACAGGUUGGUGCGUGUCCAUGCAGAGCCCUGAAUGUCAAAGUCAAAAUCUUGAAGUGGAUUCUGAAUUUUAUGUGGAGCAAGUGCAACUGGAUCAGCAGGGGUGUAACGUGGGAGUAUUUAGAAGACUUGGUCAGAAGCUUUGAGGCAGCAUUCUGAACAACUUGCAAAUGAUCCACAGAGGCUUUACUUAAACAAAUGAACAAAGAACAGGAGCGAACCAAUAAAUUAGCAUUAGUGUCCAAAGUCAGAGCUGAGUCAAAAGUUACACCAAUGUUCCUGAUAGAAGGUUUGGCAAAUGUAGUGAGAGGGCCUUAGUUUUCUAUAACCAUAGGUACCAAUUUUUUGGGAGCACAAACAAGGACUUCAGUUUUCUCCUCAUUUAGCUGACGAACGUUAUCAGCCAUCCAUCCCCUAAUGAAAUCUAAGCACCUAUGCAAAAUCAGUAGUUUGGAAACAUCUUGGGGCUUAAAGGAGAUAUACAACUGAAUAUCAUCUGCAUAGCAGUGAUAAGAAAUAUCUUUAAAAGUGCUCAAUAAGUGCUGAAGAGGGAGUAUAUACAGCAAAAACAAUAAAGGCCCC